GGGGGGGGGGGGGGGGGGCACUUUCUGUUGGGGGGGCGAAGUUAGGGAGGAAGGAGAAGCAAAAUUUCUCUCUUCCCGCCCUCUCACUUUCGGCCUCGCCUGCUGGUGGCCGGAGGGCCCCGGGACCGUCCGACGGUGAAGGCUUGGGAAGCGCGCGCCCGAGCUCUGGGCGAUCGCGGCCCGGCCUGCGGACUGUGGGCCCGCGGCCAGCGCCGAAACCCGGCCCCUCCCGGAUACGGCGCCACCGAGACACAACCCCCCAGCUCCCGCUUCGUUUCAGGGGCUGACGCUGGGAAAAGCCCGCCGCGCGCCUGGCCGAAGGAGAAGAAAACAAGACCCAAACCUGGUGACUUGCCCUCAGUUCCUUGGCGAUGACAACUUAAAGUCCUUCACAGAGAAGAACUGGUGGCUCGGGAUAAGACUAACAGCUGAACUGCUAGCAAAAAGCCAUAAGAACUUGAGCAGAGACUCAAAUCCACAGUUCUCUGCAUGGAGGAGUCUGACACCAGUGAGAUCUCCACCACAUAGGCGCUUGGCUGCUCCAGGCCACACUAGAAAGACAUUGUCAAGAAGCAGACAACUUCAGCUUAGUUUGCAGACUUUUGAGAUUUUUUAAAAUAGUUGUGUUCAAUGGGGAAGUGAAAAAAUUAUCUUCCUAGCCUUUCCUCCACCCCAUUGUUUCCUGCUGCAAUGGCUUGCUCCUUGUGCUCCCUGAGUGUGUGCCUGUGCUAUUAGAGGCCGCGUGGUGGUGGGAAUCCUCUCAUUUGUUUUCUAUAUUUAAAGCGGGAAUAAAGGGAUUUGCAAUGUAGCAGGUGCUCAAUAAAUACUGCAGACUAAUCCCACUUUUCAAAGCUUAGAGGUUAAAGAGAUGAUCAGUCGAUAAGUAACUAGAGAAAAGAAAUAGAGCAAGAGUCUAGAAGAGUGGAUUUAAAACACCACUGGUUUGUUUAUUUUAGAAGGGAGGAGAAAGUCAUCUGUCCAAAUACACAUCUGGCUGGAGUAAGAGAAAACAAUGCC
rnacentral:lncRNA from 1 species